GGGUCAGUAGGUUGGUCGUGCCACCGGUACGUACUGGUCUCACUGAUCCCUCCUUCCUGAAGAGCCGUAAUGCCAUUAAUUUGGUGUUGCGGGGAAACAGGACUGUUACUUUGAAAAAAUUAGAGUGUUUAAAGCAAGCUAACGCUUGAAUACAUUAGCAUGGAAUAAUGAAAUAGGACGAUCGAUCCUAUUUUAUUGGUUUCUAGGAUUGACGUA
rnacentral:rRNA from 1 species